rnacentral:lncRNA from 1 species
AGGGCUGCAGUAGGCAAAGGAACGAUGUAUCAUUUUGAAUGGAAAGGGAAAUAUCACAUGUUCUUUCUGCUUCUGCAGUUGUGGCAGACAGGGCCCCCCUGUGUAGCAGAGUGGAACUUUGUCAUUUGAGCCUCAACUGUUUGGACAUCUUUCUGAUAGGAACAAGACCUGUGUUUAAUUUCACCUCGUGUCCCUUGUGAGGAAAUGGGCAAAAUGGGCACACGAAGUAAACAGACCACUCAAACGGUGCUUCAGAGACUAGGUUUGGGCCUGUUUUGUUUUAUCUUUUAAUUUUUUAAAAAAAAUUUAUAUUUUAAGGACCAUUCUGAGGUAUGAGGCUAGGAUGAAAACAGUUCUCAUUGGUUCCAAAGCCUUUGCUCUUUCCCCUAUAGGAUGAAAUUUCUCUGUAUGAGUUUCUUUGUGCUGUUGCUGUGAGAAGAUGCUCCAGCCAGAAGCCAGGAAGGGUUUCUUGGUACUCACAGUUUAAAGGGAAGAUGUGGUGGCCAGUGCGUGAGGCAGCGGGUUCCAUGGUGUCUGCAGCCAGGAAGCAGAGAGAGAUGCUUGCUUUCUCGCUUUUCUCCUGGGGCCCAGCCCCACAGGAACGGCGAUACCCACAUUGCAUCUUUUCAACUUAACCGAGUCAAGUAAUCCUUCACUCGCAUGCCUGGACACUUUUAUUUCCUUUUGAUUUUAGGUCCCUUCAUAACCCCUCUUUGGUAAAUUUCCAUUGGCUACAUUUACCAUAUACCAUAUGUGCUAUGUGAUCUUACUAAUUGAGAAAAAUUAAAGAGGUGAACAAACAAUGAAUGGCCAUUUAUUUUCAAAGCCUCUUGUUGAUGGCUGAGCCCCUGCCUUAAAACAAACUUUUAUUGUAAAGUAAAUGAAGGCACAUUUUGCAUUCAGCUUGCUAGUGCUUUCUAAUCAUGAAGGGUUUUUGUUUUUGUUUUCUGUAGAUGUUUUCAUCCAGAACUCAAGAACAAAAUCUCCAUGUUAUGUUUGUUUUCGGAAUAUAUCUAUGUCAGAUAUCAUUACUUAACAGUUAGCAAAUCUGUAUUCCCCUUUCACCGGCAAGACCCGUAUUUUAUGUAGCUUAAAGAAAAGGAAGGGUGAUUUGUCCUUGCAUAGGAAAUCCGCUGUGCCUGCUUGAAACUUACACAGGAGAGAAAGGCAGUGCCCUCUCAAGUCUUUGCUACCCUUCCCACUGCUGUGCUGAAAUUCCCAGUGGAAAGCAGGCUAAGGGAAGAAGGUUUUAUUCUGGCUUAGGGUUUGAUGGGGAAAGCCCAUCAUGUUGAGCAAGGCCAUGAGGAUGCUUACUCUUGUCUGGGCUCACCAGACUUUCUCCCUCUUUAACUUGGAGUGGACCUCCAGCCUAGGAGGCAGGACCCUUACAACUUUUUGCAGCAUUCUUAUAGACACAUCAGAGGUAUGACUCCUACUGAGUUUCAAUCCAGUCAAGUUGACCAGAUGAGAGACCCUACCAUAGGUCUGUCUCUUGUCAGCUGGGCAUCCAAACACAUCCCUAGCAAACCAUCAGUCCAUGUUCUGCCCUGGUAAAGUAAAAGUGCCUUUACAAAGAGAAAGUUGGUGUAGAUUCAAUACAUUAUCUGACUUCUUUAAUGUUUUAUUUUUGACAAAAGCCGCCUCACAGCCCCACCCCAGUCUUGAAUUUCAUGGAAAAACAAACCGAGUCCAGCUGUUCUUUGUGUUUCCAGAAAGGCUUUGCUUCUUGUCUUACCCAGGGAGUAGAAUCCCACUGGGUAUCUGCUGCCCACUCCUAAUAUCAAGUAUGUAGAAGAAACACACCUGAUCCAGGGAUGGUGUCAGGCCCAUGUGACUUUACCUUGUGUCUGAAGUAAGCACUGUGAGGGGUAGGACACUGCUGCCCAGAUCAAUACCUUCUAUUUUAUUCAUUCCAUGGAAGGAAUCAUUUCACACCCUUUGAAUCAUGGCCCUGAGCUCCACUACCAACCACUGCACUAAAUAGUACCAGAUGUUGCUACUGGAAAGAGAGAAGAAGAAAAAAAAAAUCAGAUGGGAGGAGGGGCCAGGAGGUGUGGGGGCGAGGGGGGUGGCAGGAGGGAGGCAGCAGGAGGAGCGCAGUCGUAACCUGGGGAUCAGGUGACAGCUGCAGACUCCACCCUCAGGCAAGGGUUCAGUUCCAGACUGCUUUCACUGGUUCCCUCUUGAAACCGAGAGCAGACUUCAUGGAGGACAGUGACUGAAGAAAAACGGACCAUUUUCUUGGGUUUUGUACUUCCAUGCUUAUAAAGAAAUCACUUUUUUUUUAAUGCUAAGAUUUUGAAAAGAGUGAGUCAUACGAUUCUCUCAAUGUGAUAUUUUAAUGCACCAUUCCAGUCGUUGACUUCAGG